rnacentral:rRNA from 1 species
GACGAACGCUGGCGGCGUGCUUAACACAUGCAAGUCGAACGGACAGACCCUGCUUUUGUGUGUUUCUCGUUUGGCGAACAGGUGAGUAACACGUGUGUAACCUCCCCUUAACUUUGUGAUAACUUCAGGAAACUCCGGCUCAUAUCGGAUAGGAUCUCCUGCUCCAUGUUGUUGGUUGGAAAGUUUCGGCGGUUGGGGAUGUACUCGCGGCUUAUCAGCUUCUUGGGGGGGUAGUGGCUUACCAAGGCUUUGACGGGUAGCCGGCAUGAGAGGGUGACCGGCCACAAGAGGACUGAGAUACGGACCAGACGCCUACGGGAGGCAGCAGUGGGGAAUAUUGCACAAUGGGCGGAAGCCUGAUGCAGAAACGCCGCGUGCGGGAUAACGGCCUACGGGUUGUAAACAGAUUUGGCCGGUGACGAAGCGUGAGUGACGGUAAUGGGUAAAGAAGCAACGGCUAACUACGUG